rnacentral:rRNA from 1 species
GCGGCGUGCUUAACACAUGCAAGUCGAACGGAAAGGCCCUGCUUUUGUGGGGUGCUCGAGUGGCGAACGGGUGAGUAACACGUGAGUAACCUGCCCUUGACUUUGGGAUAACUUCAGGAAACUGGGGCUAAUACCGGAUAGGAGCUCCUGCUGCAUGGUGGGGGUUGGAAAGUUUCGGCGGUUGGGGAUGGACUCGCGGCUUAUCAGCUUGUUGGUGGGGUAGUGGCUUACCAAGGCUUUGACGGGUAGCCGGCCUGAGAGGGUGACCGGCCACAUUGGGACUGAGAUAUGGCCCAGACUCCUACGGGAGGCAGCAGUGGGGAAUAUUGCACAAUGGGCGGAAGCCUGAUGCAGCAACGCCGCGUGCGGGAUGACGGCCUUCGGGUUGUAAACCGCUUUCGCCUGUGACGAAGCGUGAGUGACGGUAAUGGGUAAAGAAGCACCGGCUAACUACGUGCCAGCAGCCGCGGUGAUACGUAGGGUGCGAGCGUUGUCCGGAUUUAUUGGGCGUAAAGGGCUCGUAGGUGGUUGAUCGCGUCGGAAGUGUAGUCUUGGGGCUUAACCCUGAGCGUGCUUUCGAUACGGGUUGACUUGAGGAAGGUAGGGGAGAAUGGAAUUCCUGGUGGAGCGGUGGAAUGCGCAGAUAUCAGGAGGAACACCAGUGGCGAAGGCGGUUCUCUGGGCCUUUCCUGACGCUGAGGAGCGAAAGCGUGGGGAGCGAACAGGCUUAGAUACCCUGGUAGUCCACGCUGUAAACGGUGGGUACUAGGUGUGGGGUCCAUUCCACGGGUUCCGUGCCGUAGCUAACGCUUUAAGUACCCCGCCUGGGGAGUACGGCCGCAAGGCUAAAACUCAAAGGAAUUGACGGGGCCCCGCACAAGCGGCGGAGCAUGCGGAUUAAUUCGAUGCAACGCGUAGAACCUUACCUGGGUUUGACAUGGAUCGGGAGUGCUCAGAGAUGGGUGUGCCUCUUUUGGGGUCGGUUCACAGGUGGUGCAUGGCUGUCGUCAGCUCGUGUCGUGAGAUGUUGGGUUAAGUCCCGCAACGAGCGCAACCCUUGUUCACUGUUGCCAGCACGUUAUGGUGGGGACUCAGUGGAGACCGCCGGGGUCAACUCGGAGGAAGGUGGGGAUGACGUCAAGUCAUCAUGCCCCUUAUGUCCAGGGCUUCACGCAUGCUACAAUGGCUGGUACAGAGAGUGGCGAGCCUGUGAGGGUGAGCGAAUCUCGGAAAGCCGGUCUCAGUUCGGAUUGGGGUCUGCAACUCGACCUCAUGAAGUCGGAGUCGCUAGUAAUCGCAGAUCAGCAACGCUGCGGUGAAUACGUUCCCGGGGCUUGUACACACCGCCCGUCAAGUCAUGAAAGUUGGUAACACCCGAAGCCGGUGGCCUAACCGUUGUGGGGGAGCCGUCGAAGGUGGGACUGGUGAUUAGG